ACGAACGCUGGCGGCGUGCCUAAUACACGCAAGUCGAACGAGAGCGACCGGUGCUUGCACUGGUCAAUCUAGUGGCGAACGGGUGAGUAACACGUGGGUAACCUGCCCAUCAGAGGGGGAUAACAUCCGGAAACGGAUGCUAAAACCGCAUAGGUCUUCGAGCCGCAUGGCUUGAAGAGGAAAAGAGGCGCAAGCUUCUGCUGAUGGAUGGACCCGCGGUGCAUUAGCUAGUUGGUGAGGUAACGGCUCACCAAGGCCGUGAUGCAUAGCCGACCUGAGAGGGUGAUCGGCCACAUUGGGACUGAGACACGGCCCAAACUCCUACGGGAGGCAGCAGUAGGGAAUCUUCCGCAAUGGACGCAAGUCUGACGGAGCAACGCCGCGUGAGUGAAGAAGGUUUUCGGAUCGUAAAACUCUGUUGUUAGAGAAGAACAAGUGCUAGAGUAACUGUUAGCGCCUUGACGGUAUCUAACCAGAAAGCCACGGCUAACUACGUG
rnacentral:rRNA from 1 species